UCUGGGAGGACUUUAUAUUUUAUGUUUAGCUUAGUUUAACCUACAAAAUUGAUAUACGUGCAAAAACGGUCUGAUAAAAAAUGUCCUUCAGAAAAAAACAUUUACAGAAUUAUCUAAGAGCCAAAAAAAUGGACGUUUACAAAAAUUUUUAAAUAAUCCAACAAACUAUUCUGAUCUGUAGGAACCUCAGAUUAUUGAGCCUUAAUCAUUACCCUGAAUAAGAGAAGUGAUUUAAUCUAUGCUAAGUGAUACCAAACUUUGGAGUUAAAUUGACGGUAAUUUUAUGAUUGAAAUUAACUGAAAGUUGCUGCCUGAUUUGCCGACAAUUUGACAGCAAAGGUGGAAAGAAAAAUUUGCAGUUAAUUUUUCUCAAUUUAGAGGUAGAGGCACCUAAGGCCGCUGAGGACAUAACAUCACUGAUAUGUCCUGGGAGGUUACUAGGAUCGGAGCAGACGCCACCUCCUGGACGGUGGGCAGUUCGUUGUCACGCGGGACCAAUUUUGAAUUUGAAAACAGUGAUAAAUUUAUUGUUGACUAUGAUGAUGAUGAUUAUUAUUAUUAUUAUUUAAUGAAAUUAUGAAGUUAUGGAUAAGGAUAGAUGUAAUUGAAGAAAUAACUUUUAUCUGAAGACUGAGUUUUAUUAUAAAGUAUAGAUAAGAUUUGAUCAGUAAUAACAGUUGUGCUCGUCAAUAGUUCUCGGAGAGAAGUGAAGUUACAUCAGCCGACAGAGAGAUCUCUGACUCUCCACUCUUUGACUUCUCCCACCAUUCUCAUAUUAACACACAUACUUAUGCAAUAUAUGUACUUAUACAUAUCAACGUUCUUUUUAAUUAUAUACUUAUACAUUUAUACUUCCUACUAAUACACGUACGAGAUAUGAGUUUACACAUCUACGUUCUUUAUUUAUCUGUUCUAUGAUUUUACUUACUACUUAUAUUAUUUAUAUUCCAUUUUCCUGUACUUAAAUACAAUCUUUUAGUUAAUUAUUCUAUAUUUAAUUAUUUAAUACGAUUGACAUUAUUAUUUAUCAUGAAA